UCGGGGCCGAGGUUUAUCCUUUCCCGCCAGUUCCUAGUCUGCGACAUAGAGACCAGUUGCUGAGAGUGCAGGAAAAAUUGAUGUUGCAGUUGCGAUCGUGCUUAGGAAGCCACUCCAUUCUCUCUCAUCUCACCAGAGUCUCUCCCACAUUUCCACCUCUCGCUCACUCCCUCUCCAUCUCAAUCUCCGUCUCCAUUUCCAAAUCCUUCCUCCCUCAAAGCCUUAACCCUAACCCUAGACCCAUGUCCUCCCGCCCCUCCGCAUUCGAUGCCCUCAUGUCCGGCGCCCGCGCCGCUGCCUCCAAGAAGAAGAAGCCCCAACAGCCGCCCCCUCCUCCGUCGCCCAAGAAACGCAAGUCCCCGGAACGGGACACGCCUGCUGUCACCGAAGCCCCCUCCUCAAUUCAAACCCCAAGUGGCUCCAAGAAGGACCAAUCGAGUCCCGACUCAAAGCCCACGACUACCACCGCCGACGAGAGCAUUGCUCUUCUCAAGAAGAAGCCGGCCGGUUUCGACCCCAAAUUGGCCGCGUUUUGGAAGGACGGCGAACGCGUGCCCUUCUUGUUUCUGGUCAAGGCGUUUGACGCCAUAGAUAAGGAGUCCGGCCGGAUCGCUAUUACCGAGAUUGUGUGUAAUAUGCUGAGGACUGUCAUGUCGACCACGCCCGACGACUUGCUUCCGGUUGUUUAUCUUUUGGCGAACAAGAUCGCGCCGGCGCACGAGGGGGUGGAGCUUGGGAUUGGCGAUGCUUCGAUUAUCAAGGCGCUUGCUGAAGCUUGUGGGGCAAAAGAAACCCAAAUUAAGAGCAAAUACCAGGCAUUAGGAGACUUGGGCCUUGUUGCAAAAGCUAGUCGUUCAUCCCAGUCUUUGAUGAGAAGACCUGAGGCAUUAACAGUUGCCAAGGUUUUUGAAACAUUUCGACUUAUGGCCAAGGAAUCUGGCAAGGAUAGUCAAGAGAAGAAGAAAAACCAUAUCAAGGGACUUCUUGUUGCAGCAACUGAUUGUGAACCUCAAUAUCUUAUUCGUUUACUUCAGUCAAAAUUGCGGAUUGGAUUGGCAGAGCAAACACUCUUAGUUGCACUUGGACAAGCUGCUGCAUAUGCUGAAAAACAUUCCUCCCCACCCGCAAAAGUUGAUUCUCCUAUUGAGGAAGCUGCAAAAAUUGUCAAGCAAGUUUAUUCUGUAAUUCCAGUGUAUGAUAGAAUAGUCCCUGCUCUUCUUACUGGUGGUGUGUGGAAUCUUCCAGAGACAUGUAAUUUCACACCUGGUGUCCCUAUAGGACCAAUGCUAUCAAAACCAACCAAAGGAGUUUCUGAGAUCUUGGAUAAGUUUCAGGAUAUGGAGUUCACUUGUGAGUUCAAGUAUGAUGGUGAAAGAGCUCAGAUACAUUACCUGGAGAAUGGGUCAGUCGAGAUAUACAGCCGAAAUGCUGAACACAAUACUGGAAAGUUUCCUGAUGUUGUUGCUACAGUAUCAAGAUUGAAGAAACCAUCAGUGACAUCAUUUGUUCUGGAUUGCGAAAUUGUGGCCUAUGACCGUGAGAAACAGAAAAUUCUGCCAUUCCAGAUACUUAGUACCCGUGCUCGUAAGAAUGUGGUGAUGAGUGAUAUCAAGGUUGAUGUUUGUAUAUUCUCUUUUGACAUCUUAUAUCUCAAUGGCCAGCCACUUAUGCAAGAGCAACUUAAUGUUCGCAGAGAGCAUCUUUACAGAUCAUUUGAAGAGGAGCCUGGAUAUUUUCAGUUUGCAACAGCAAUAAAAUCAAAUGAUCUUGAGGAAAUACAAAAAUUUCUUGAAACAGCUGUUGAUUCUUGUUGUGAGGGUUUGAUUAUCAAAACAUUGAGUAGAGAUGCUACAUAUGAGCCCUCAAAAAGGUCACAUAACUGGCUGAAAUUGAAGAAAGAUUACAUGGAGAGUAUUGGUGACUCGCUGGAUUUAGUUCCUAUUGGUGCUUUUCAUGGACGCGGAAAGCGAACUGGUGUUUAUGGUGCCUUCCUCCUUGCUUGCUAUGACAGCAGCAAUGAAGAAUUUCAGAGCAUUUGCAAAAUUGGCACUGGAUUUUCUGAAGCAAUGCUUGAAGAGCGUUCUGCCAGUCUACGUUCAAAAGUGAUCCCCAAACCAAAGCCGUACUACCGUUAUGGAGAUUCAAUAACUCCUGAUGUCUGGUUUGAGCCAAUUGAGGUUUGGGAGGUAAAAGCUGCAGAUUUGACUAUCAGUCCUGUUCAUCGUGCUGCUGUUGGUGUUGUUGAGUCUGACAAGGGCAUUUCUCUUCGAUUUCCACGUCUAAUUCGUGUCCGAGAAGAUAAGACUCCAGAGGAAGCAUCAUCUUCUGAGAUGGUUGCUGAGAUGUAUAAUUCUCAGAAGAACAAUCAAAGGAAUAACCAAGAUGAAAAUGAGGAAGACUGAAGGCAGAUUUUUUGUGUUACGUUUCUUUUCAAGUGAUCCUUUUCUUUGUACAAAUCAGUUUGAUUACUUCAUGCGAGACAGACUGUCAACUAUGUGCGGCAGUUCACCUGAUUACUGCAGAGAACACAACUGGUGUUGGACUGACAAGUCUGAUUUACUGGCUUAAACAUGAUUCCAAAGAGAAUUCUUCAGUGUAGGAGUUGCCUGGUUGCCGACAAUGCCUUGUUUAUGGUUGUAUACUUCUUGUAUUGUUAACUCAAGUGACAUGAGGCAGCAGUCCUUCGAUCAAAAUUUUUAUCAGGCUCAUAAGGUGAACGUGUUUUCCUUAUUGCUUAGUCAUUUAUCCAUAUUUCAUUGAGAGAUUUGUGUGGAGUUGGAGCUGGUAUUGGGUUGGCAAUAGAUGGGGAAUGACCUGACUUGUUCCUCCAUGUGGGUGAGCCAGACCGGGAAAGACUGUUGAACCUUGUGAAUUGGGCUUCAAGAGAAAUCCUGCCGUGUGGACAAAGCUGUGUUUUUGGGCUUCUUUUCAUUCUUGGUUCCUAGAAUUAGAAUUUCCAUGUACCUCUAGGAGAGUUGAACUUGCAAGACGGUCAUUACACGUGAAAGGGAUUUUUCCUUAGUUUCAAAUUGCUUGUUUGUUCUCUUGUUAAGUUGGAACAUGCUAGCCCGUCAGGUCUGGCAGAAUGAUACAAAAUCCUAAUUGGCUGCCAUCUAGAUUCAGUGUACUGGGUUUUCAACGUUGGUGGAAGACCCAUGAAAUUGGUUGUUAUGUAGACUCUAGAACAGUGUGAAAACGCAGGAGGAAAAAAACAAACAAAAGACAGCCAAACAUGCAAAAAGAGCUACUGUUUUUUGGUUGCUAUUUGUUUAGUGUGAUUCUUUCAUAAUUGUUAGAAAUGUCCAUCCCAGUUGACUCUGGUGAGCUUUGCUGGAAGGGGCGAAAGGAGAUGACUUGGUCAAGUUAAGAGGAACAUGCCUCCCACGUAGAGCCUCCAUUUGAUGGGGUUAUUAAAUGUGAAAAUGUUGUUUA